rnacentral:rRNA from 1 species
UGCCAGCCGCCGCGGUAAUACGGAGGGUGCAAGCGUUAUCCGGAAUCACUGGGUUUAAAGGGGUGCGUAGGCGGUUUAAUAAGUCAGAAGUGAAAGCCUGCGGCUUAACCGUAGAAUUGCUUUUGAUACUGUUAAACUUGAAUUAGGUUGAGGUUGGCGGAAUGUGACAUGUAGCGGUGAAAUGCAUAGAUAUGCCAUAGAACACCGAUUGCGAAGGCAGCUUGCUGGACCUUGAUUGACGCUGAGGCACGAAAGCGUGGGGAGCGAACAGGAUUAGAUA